UACGAAGGGGGCUAGCGUUGCUCGGAAUCACUGGGCGUAAAGGGUGCGUAGGCGGGUCUUUAAGUCAGGGGUGAAAUCCUGGAGCUCAACUCCAGAACUGCCUUUGAUACUGAGGAUCUUGAGUUCGGGAGAGGUGAGUGGAACUGCGAGUGUAGAGGUGAAAAUUCGUAGAUAUUCGCAAGAACACCAGUGGCGAAGGCGGCUCACUGGCCCGGUACUGACGCUGAGGCACGAAAGCGUGGGGAGCAAACAGG
rnacentral:rRNA from 1 species